UACGUAGGGACCAAGCGUUGUUCGGAAUUACUGGGCGUAAAGGGCGCGUAGGCGGCCCGCUAAGUCGAACGUGAAAUCCCCGAGCUCAACUCGGGAACUGCGUCCGAUACUGGCGGGCUUGAAUCCGGGAGAGGGAUGCGGAAUUCCAGGUGUAGCGGUGAAAUGCGUAGAUAUCAGGAAGAACACCCGUGGCGAAGGCGGCUCUCUGGGACGGUACUGACGCUGAGACGCGAAAGCGUGGGGAGCGAACAGG
rnacentral:rRNA from 1 species